AGACACUCGUGUCUUGCCCAGGUGUGCUUCGUUAUAGUCUGUCUGUAUUUAUUUUCCUUUUUUUCGUUAACUCUUCCUUUUUGCAUUGUCAUCGGUCGUGUCGUGUCAUGUCGCCCGUGGUGGCUACUUUCUGGUUCAUAGAGGAUGACAGUUGAGCCAUUGGUGCUAAAGAAAAUUGACUGGAACAAAAUGGAGACUGCGGAGUAUAAUAAUGCUGCAUCAGCACUCAGGCAAUAUGUGUUCAGCUCCUUCAUUUGAUCUUCUGUGUUGUCAUGACAGGCUGCUUCUGACGUUCCUGUAAAACCAGAAUUGGCUGCGUUCUUGUCAAACUGGCUGCUGCGAAAAAGCUAAUUAACGACACAACUUCAAAGCGAGGCUUGGCCAAAGAGUUUUGUAAGGUCACCCUCUCCAGAGCCAAAAGGGCACAUCAAUUUUGGAGCCCUCGUGAGGAGGCGCCACAUAUUCUCCUCGAUCACUAGCCCCCUGCGGAGAAACGACAUCUGAAGGUGCACUUGAUUUGUGUGAAACCUAGUACCCUGCAUGAUCAGAAUAGAAAAUAAACAGACCGAACAGGA